CAACAAAGUUCUUGUUGUGCUUAGAACCGCACUGAGCAUAAUUCUGUGCAUAAUAUUCUUAGGCUUGUUUAAUUCAUAAGGUUCAAAGACAGAUGCUAAGAUAACUGUUUCAAAACACUGACUUUUCUGUGGAGCCUCUGAAUCACCAGGCAUGAAACAUCCCUAAAGCAUUAAUACUCCAUAUUUUACACCAGGUUGGGAAGUUCAGUCCAGACUCCUUCACAGAUUCCACCUCCUUCUGGAAGAUCCCCAGACCUUCGCAAAGCCUACUGUGAGAUAUAAUCUCUCCAACGGGUCCUAGAUUCAGCACCAGUGACUGAUCCAGCUCUAGCGGGAGACGACCAUCAGAGGAGGCAUCGAACCACAUUACCUGUCUCCUUUCGAUUGGGAGGAGCAGUGGAUCUAUGCGGAGACUCUCCCGGAUUAUCGUGCUCCUCACUCUAUAACAAAGA
ensembl:lncRNA